AUUGAACGCUGGCGGCAGGCCUAACACAUGCAAGUCGAGCGGAUGAAGGGAGCUUGCUCCUGGAUUCGGCGGCGGACGGGUGGGUAAUGCCUAGGAAUCUGCCUGGUAGUGGGGGAUAACGUCCGGAAACGGGCGCUAAUACCGCAUACGUCCUGAGGGAGAAAGUGGGGGAUCUUCGGACCUCACGCUAUCAGAUGAGCCUAGGUCGGAUUAGCUAGUUGGUGGGGUAAAGGCCUACCAAGGCGACGAUCCGUAACUGGUCUGAGAGGAUGAUCAGUCACACUGGAACUGAGACACGGUCCAGACUCCUACGGGAGGCAGCAGUGGGGAAUAUUGGACAAUGGGCGAAAGCCUGAUCCAGCCAUGCCGCGUGUGUGAAGAAGGUCUUCGGAUUGUAAAGCACUUUAAGUUGGGAGGAAGGGCAGUAAGUUAAUACCUUGCUGUUUUGACGUUACCAACAGAAUAAGCACCGGCUAACUUCGUG
rnacentral:rRNA from 1 species